rnacentral:rRNA from 1 species
ACUAAUUCUAGCCCUACAUCCCCUUAUAUAACAACAUUAUUUCAUAAAAUAAAACAUUCAUCAUUUAAAGUAUUGGAGAAAGAAAUUUUCAUUAGGAGCUAUAGAGUCAGUACCGCAAGGGAAAGAUGAAAGAUUAUUUCAAAGUAUAAACAAGCAAAGAUUAAACCUUGUACCUUUUGCAUAAUGAAUUAACCAGAAACUACCUAACUAAAAGAAUUUAAGCUAGGCACCCCGAAACCAAACGAGCUACCUAAAAACAAUUUUAUGAGUUAACCCGUCUAUGUGGCAAAAUAGUGGGAAGAUUUCUAGGUAGAGGUGAAAAGCCUAACGAGCUUGGUGAUAGCUGGUCGCCCAAAAAAUGAAUUUCAGUUCAACUUUAAAUUUGCUUAAAGAACUAAAAAUCCUAACGUAAAUUUAAAAUAUAGCCAAAAGAGGGACAGCUCUUUAGGAACGGAGAAAACCUUUAAUAGUGAAUAAAUAACUCUAUCAAUUAACCAUUGUAGGCCUAAGAGCAGCCAUCAAUAAAGAAAGCGUUCAAGCUCAACAUAAAAAACCUGAUAAAUCUCUUAAUCCCAAUAAUUUCCUAAACUACAAAUUGGGCUAUUCUAUAAACCUAUAGAAGAAACACUGUUAGUAUGAGUAACAAGAAUUUAUUCUCCAAGCACAAAUGUAUAACAACCCGGAUAACCAUUGUUAGUUACCAGAUAAUAGAUCUUAACCCAAAAUAAAUUUAUUCUAAAACUAAUCUGUUGACCCAACACAGGAGUGCUCUAAGGAAAGAUUAAACAAAAUAAAAGGAACUCGGCAAACCUAAACCCCGCCUGUUUACCAAAAACAUCACCUCUAGCAUUACAAGUAUUAGAGGCAUUGCCUGCCCAGUGACUAAAGUUAAACGGCCGCGGUAUCCUGACCGUGCAAAGGUAGCAUAAUCACUUGUUCCUUAAUUAGGGACCAGUAUGAACGGCUAGACGAGGGUUUAACUGUCUCUUAUUUUCAAUCAGUGAAAUUGACCUUCCAGUGAAGAGGCUGGAAUUCCAUAAUAAGACGAGAAGACCCUAUGGAGCUUUAAUUAGCGAGCUUAACUACUCCUAUAAUUCCCCUAAUGGAAUAAAAACAAUAUUAUAAGCUUAAGAUUUUGGUUGGGGUGACCUCGGAGAACAAAAAAUCCUCCGAAAGAUUACAACUUAGACUUACAAGUCGAAGUAACUAACUUAUCCAAUUGACCCAAAAAAUUUGAUCAACGGACCAAGUUACCCUAGGGAUAACAGCGCAAUCCUAUUCAAGAGUCCAUAUCGACAAUAGGGUUUACGACCUCGAUGUUGGAUCAGGACAUCCCAAUGGUGCAGAAGCUAUUAAUGGUUCGUUUGUUCAACGAUUAAAGUCCUACGUGAUCUGAGUUCAGACCGGAGAAAUCCAGGUCGGUUUCUAUCUAUUUACAAUUUCUCCCAGUACGAAAGGAUAAGAGAAAUAGAGCCACCUUAACAAAAGUGCUCUUAACCAAAUUUAUGAAAAAAAACUAAAUAAAAUACUUAUGUAACAAACUAUUUACCUAGACCAGGUC